AUGCUCACUUUGGCAGCACAUAUACUAAAAUUGGAAUGAUACAGAGAAGAUUACAAUGGCCCCUGCACAAACAAUAAAGGAAAAGAGAGAGCAAGGGACUACAUUUGA
ensembl:snRNA U6 U6 spliceosomal RNA